rnacentral:misc_RNA from 1 species
UCGUAAAACCGAGGCGCAAGGGCUGUCGCUGACCUCUAGGUCGUGCACGCCCGAGCGCUCUCACACAAAAUCCAUAUCACCCCUUGUGCAUCACCGCGUGGGUCCCUCUCUGGCUCGUCCAGAAGGGGGGCUUGCGUUUUCACACAAACUUGAAGUAGUGUAGAAUGUCAUUUUUUGCGAUAACACGCAAUCAAUA